rnacentral:rRNA from 1 species
GAGUCACGAAGAGUUUGAUCCUGGCUCAGGAUGAACGCUGGCGGCGUGCUUAACACAUGCAAGUCGAACGGGAUCCAUCAGGCUUUGCUUGGUGGUGAGAGUGGCGAACGGGUGAGUAAUGCGUGACCGACCUGCCCCAUACACCGGAAUAGCUCCUGGAAACGGGUGGUAAUGCCGGAUGCUCCGACUCCUCGCAUGGGGUGUCGGGAAAGAUUUCAUCGGUAUGGGAUGGGGUCGCGUCCUAUCAGGUAGUCGGCGGGGUAACGGCCCACCGAGCCUACGACGGGUAGCCGGCCUGAGAGGGCGACCGGCCACAUUGGGACUGAGAUACGGCCCAGACUCCUACGGGAGGCAGCAGUGGGGAAUAUUGCACAAUGGGCGCAAGCCUGAUGCAGCGACGCCGCGUGCGGGAUGACGGCCUUCGGGUUGUAAACCGCUUUUGAUCGGGAGCAAGCCUUCGGGUGAGUGUACCUUUCGAAUAAGCACCGGCUAACUACGUGCCAGCAGCCGCGGUAAUACGUAGGGUGCAAGCGUUAUCCGGAAUUAUUGGGCGUAAAGGGCUCGUAGGCGGUUCGUCGCGUCCGGUGUGAAAGUCCAUCGCUUAACGGUGGAUCUGCGCCGGGUACGGGCGGGCUGGAGUGCGGUAGGGGAGACUGGAAUUCCCGGUGUAACGGUGGAAUGUGUAGAUAUCGGGAAGAACACCAAUGGCGAAGGCAGGUCUCUGGGCCGUUACUGACGCUGAGGAGCGAAAGCGUGGGGAGCGAACAGGAUUAGAUACCCUGGUAGUCCACGCCGUAAACGGUGGAUGCUGGAUGUGGGGCCCGUUCCACGGGUUCCGUGUCGGAGCUAACGCGUUAAGCAUCCCGCCUGGGGAGUACGGCCGCAAGGCUAAAACUCAAAGAAAUUGACGGGGGCCCGCACAAGCGGCGGAGCAUGCGGAUUAAUUCGAUGCAACGCGAAGAACCUUACCUGGGCUUGACAUGUUCCCGACAGCCGUAGAGAUAUGGCCUCCCUUCGGGGCGGGUUCACAGGUGGUGCAUGGUCGUCGUCAGCUCGUGUCGUGAGAUGUUGGGUUAAGUCCCGCAACGAGCGCAACCCUCGCCCUGUGUUGCCAGCACGUCAUGGUGGGAACUCACGGGGGACCGCCGGGGUCAACUCGGAGGAAGGUGGGGAUGACGUCAGAUCAUCAUGCCCCUUACGUCCAGGGCUUCACGCAUGCUACAAUGGCCGGUACAACGGGAUGCGACACGGCGACGUGGAGCGGAUCCCUGAAAACCGGUCUCAGUUCGGAUUGGAGUCUGCAACCCGACUCCAUGAAGGCGGAGUCGCUAGUAAUCGCGGAUCAGCAACGCCGCGGUGAAUGCGUUCCCGGGCCUUGUACACACCGCCCGUCAAGUCAUGAAAGUGGGUAGCACCCGAAGCCGGUGGCCUAACCCUUUGUGGAUGGAGCCGUCUAAGGUGAGACUCGUGAUUGGGACUAAGUCGUAACAAGGUAGCCGUAG